rnacentral:tRNA from 1 species
GGUCCCGUAGUGGAGCGGUUUAACACGCCUGCCUGUCACGCAGGAGAUCGCGGGUUCGAUUCCCGCCGGGACCGCCA